AUACGGAGGAUGCGAGCGUUAUCCGGAUUUAUUGGGUUUAAAGGGUGCGUAGGCUGAGGAGUAAGUCAGGGGUGAAAUGCCGCAGCUCAACUGCGGAACUGCCUUUGAUACUGCUUUUCUGGAGUCCGGAUGCCGUGGGAGGAAUGGGCAGUGUAGCGGUGAAAUGCAUAGAUAUUGCCCAGAACACCGAUUGCGAAGGCAUCUCACGAAUCCGGCACUGACGCUGAGGCACGAAAGCGUGGGGAUCAAACAGGAUUAGAUACCCUGGUAGUCCACGCAGUAAACGAUGAUAACUAACCGUCGGCGAUAGACAGUCGGUGGCCAAGCGAAAGCGAUAAGUUAUCCACCUGGGGAGUACGUUCGCAAGAAUGAAACUCAAAUGAAUUGGCGGGG
rnacentral:rRNA from 1 species